rfam:Otolemur garnettii contig120346, whole genome shotgun sequence.
GCUUGCUUCAGCAGCACAUACUAAAAUUGGAACAAUACAAAGAAGAUUAGCAUGGCCCCUGUGCAAGGACGACACACAAAUUUGUGAAGUGUUCCAUAUUUUU